GUGAAGAACGUAGCGAAAUGCGAUAAGUAAUGUGAAUUGCAGAAUUCAGUGAAUCAUCGAAUCUUUGAACGCACAUUGCGCCCCUUGGUAUUCCGAGGGGCAUGCCUGUUCGAGCGUCAUUAUAACCCUCAAGCUCAGCUUGGUGUUGGGGCCUGCUGCACUGGCAGCCCUUAAAAUCAGUGGCGGCGCCAUCUGGCUCUAAGCGUAGUAAUUCUUCUCGCUAUGGAGUCCUGGUGGAUGCUUGCCAUCAACCCCCAAUUUUUCUAUGGUUGACCUCGGAUCAGGUAGGGAUACCCGCUGAACUUAAGCAUAUCAAUAAGCGGAGGA
rnacentral:misc_RNA from 1 species